UACGUAGGUGACCAGCGUUGUCCGGAUUUACUGGGCGUAAAGAGCGCGCAGGCGGUCGUUCAAGUCGAGUGUGAAAGCCCCCGGCUCAACUGGGGAGGGUCACGCGAUACUGAUCGACUCGAAGGCAGGAGAGGGUAGUGGAAUUCCCGGUGUAGUGGUGAAAUGCGUAGAUAAUCGGGAGGAACACCAGUGGCGAAGGCGACUACCUGGCCUGUUCUUGACGCUGAGGCGCGAAAGCUAGGGGAGCAAACGGG
rnacentral:rRNA from 1 species